UACGUAGGGUGCGAGCGUUAAUCGGAAUUACUGGGCGUAAAGCGUGCGCAGGCGGUUCGUUGUGUCGGCGGUGAAAGCCCCGGGCUUAACCGUGGGAAUGGCCGAUUGAAACUGGCGAACUGGAGUGUGGCAGGAGGGGGGUGGAAUUCCGCGUGUAGCAGUGAAAUGCGUAGAGAUGUGGAGGAAUACCGAUGGCGAAGGCAGCCUCCUGGGCCAACACUGACGCUCAUGCACGAAAGCGUGGGGAGCAAACAGG
rnacentral:rRNA from 1 species